AUUGAACGCUGGCGGCAGGCCUAACACAUGCAAGUCGAGCGGAUGAAGGGAGCUUGCUCCUGGAUUCAGCGGCGGACGGGUGAGUAAUGCCUAGGAAUCUGCCUGGUAGUGGGGGAUAACGUCCGGAAACGGGCGCUAAUACCGCAUACGUCCUGAGGGAGAAAGUGGGGGAUCUUCGGACCUCACGCUAUCAGAUGAGCCUAGGUCGGAUUAGCUAGUUGGUGGGGUAAAGGCCUACCAAGGCGACGAUCCGUAACUGGUCUGAGAGGAUGAUCAGUCACACUGGAACUGAGACACGGUCCAGACUCCUACGGGAGGCAGCAGUGGGGAAUAUUGGACAAUGGGCGAAAGCCUGAUCCAGCCAUGCCGCGUGUGUGAAGAGGGUCUUCGGAUUGUAAAGCACUUUAAGUUGGGAGGAAGGGCAGUAAGUUAAUACCUUGCUGUUUUGACGGUACCAACAGAAUAAGCACCGGCUAACUUCGUG
rnacentral:rRNA from 1 species